rnacentral:rRNA from 1 species
CCCCUAGAUGUUCUGGGCCGCACGCGCGCUACACUGAACAGUUCAACAAGUCUUAACCUUGGCCGAUAGGUCUGGGUAAUCUUUGAACGCUGUUCGUGAUUGGGAUAGACCUUUGCAAUUAUGGGUCUUCAACGAGGAAUUCCUAGUAAACGCAAGUCAUCAGCUUGCAUUGAUUACGUCCCUGCCCUUUGUACACACCGCCCGUCGCACCUACCGAUUGAAUGGUCCGGUGAAUAAUUCGGACUGAUGCAAUAUUCAGCUCCUGGACGUUGCGUUGGAAAGUUUAGUGAACCUUAUCACUUAGAGGAAGGAGAAGUCGUAACA